AAAUCAGGCAUCUGUAAGCAAAGAACUCUGUGCAUUUGCAUAAUACACUGUUGCUUUCAUUAUGGAAAAUCCACAGGCAUGAACCAUGCCAUGUUUACUUCCUUGUGUUUCUCAAAAAGGUUUUCCUAGUUCUGAGCAGGAAGAUAAUUUAGAAGGACCUAUCCAAAGAGUAAUUUUCAUUUCACUUACUGGUAUUGGAGUUUUAGGGAAUAUCAUCUUAUUUGUGAGACAUGUAUAUACUUUCAUCAUGAGUUGUGAGAACAAAAAUAUAGAUGUUAUUCUCAUCCACUUG
rnacentral:lncRNA from 1 species